GAUGAACGCUGGCGGCGUGCCUAAUACAUGCAAGUCGAGCGAACGGACGAGAAUCUUGCUUCUCUGAUGUUAGCGGCGGACGGGUGAGCAACACGUGGAUAACCUACCUAUAAGACUGGGAUAACUUCGGGAAACCGGAGCUAAUACCGGAUAAUAUUUUGAACCGCAUGGUUCAAAAGUGAAAGACGGUCUUGCUGUCACUUAUAGAUGGAUCCGCGCUGCAUUAGCUAGUUGGUAAGGUAACGGCUUACCAAGGCAACGAUGCAUAGCCGACCUGAGAGGGUGAUCAGCCACACUGGAACUGAGACACGGUCCAGACUCCUACGGGAGGCAGCAGUAGGGAAUCUUCCGCAAUGGGCGAAAGCCUGACGGAGCAACGCCGCGUGAGUGAUGAAGGUCUUCGGAUCGUAAAACUCUGUUAUUAGGGAAGAACAUAUGUGUAAGUAACUGUGCACAUCUUGACGGUACCUAAUCAGAAAGCCACGGCUAACUACGUG
rnacentral:rRNA from 1 species